rnacentral:rRNA from 1 species
UACGUAGGGUGCAAGCGUUAAUCGGAAUUACUGGGCGUAAAGCGUGCGCAGGCGGUUGUGCAAGACAGAUGUGAAAUCCCGGCUACUGGACGUGCAUUGUGACUGCACGGCUAGAGUGUGUCAGAGGGGGUAGGAAUUCCACCGUGCAGCAGUGAAAUGCGUAGAUAUGUGGAGGAAUACCGAUGACGAAGGCAGCCCCCGU